CAGCAGUAGGGAAUCUUCCACAAUGGACGAAAGUCUGAUGGAGCAACGCCGCGUGCAGGAUGAAUGCCUUCGGGUUGUAAACUGCUUUUAUAUGUGACGAAUAUGACGGUAGCAUAUGAAUAAGGAUCGGCUAACUCCGUGCCAGCAGCCGCGGUCAUACGGAGGAUCCAAGCGUUAUCCGGAAUUACUGGGCGUAAAGAGUUGCGUAGGUGGUACUGUAUGUCGGUAGUGAAAGCGUAGGGCUCAACCUUAUACACAUUAUUGAAACUGCAGAGCUAGAGGACAAGAGAGGUCACUGGAAUUCCUAGUGUAGGAGUGAAAUCCGUAGAUAUUAGGAGGAACACCGAUGGCGUAGGCAGGUGACUGGCUUGUUCCUGACACUAAGGCACGAAAGCGUGGGUAGCAAACGGGAUUAGAUACCCCGGUAGUCCACGCUGUAAACGAUGGAUGCUAGCUGUAAGAGGUAUCGACCCCUCUU
rnacentral:rRNA from 1 species